AACGAGGCCGACCUGCGGCUGAGUUACCUGCGGAGGGAUCAUUACACAAUACAAUAUGAAGGCUGUCCGCAGCUGGAGUAUUUUAUUACCCUUGUCUUUUGCGCACUUGUUGUUUCCUGGGCGGGUUCGCUCGCCACCAGGACCACCAAUAAACCUUUUUUAUGCAGUUGCAAUCAGCGUCAGUACAAACAAUGUAAAUCAUUUACAACUUUCAACAACGGAUCUCAGAUCGGAAGAGCA
rnacentral:misc_RNA from 1 species